rnacentral:rRNA from 1 species
UACAGAGGGUGCAAGCGUUAAUCGGAAUUACUGGGCGUAAAGCGUGCGCAGAUGGUUGCGUAAGUCAGAUGUGAAAGCCCCGGGCUCAACCUGGGAAUUGCAUUUGAGACUGCGUAGCUAGGGUGCGGAAGAGGGAAGCGGAAUUUCCGGUGUAGCGGUGAAAUGCGUAGAUAUCGGAAGGAACACCAGUGGCGAAAGCGGCUUCCUGGUCCAGCACCGACAUUCAGGCACGAAAGCGUGGGGAGCAAACAGGAUUAGAUACCCUGGUAGUCCACGCCAUAAACGAUGAGAACUAGACGUUGAAGGGGUAAGCCCUCCAGUGUCGCAGCUAACGCGCUAAGUUCUCCGCCUGGGGAGUACGGCCGCAAGGUUGAA